UAGGGAAUCUUCGGCAAUGGGGGCAACCCUGACCGAGCAACGCCGCGUGAGUGAAGAAGGUUUUCGGAUCGUAAAGCUCUGUUGUAAGUCAAGAACGAGUGUGAGAGUGGAAAGUUCACACUGUGACGGUAGCUUACCAGAAAGGGACGGCUAACUACGUGCCAGCAGCCGCGGUAAUACGUAGGUCCCGAGCGUUGUCCGGAUUUAUUGGGCGUAAAGCGAGCGCAGGCGGUUUGAUAAGUCUGAAGUUAAAGGCUGUGGCUCAACCAUAGUUCGCUUUGGAAACUGUCAAACUUGAGUGCAGAAGGGGAGAGUGGAAUUCCAUGUGUAGCGGUGAAAUGCGUAGAUAUAUGGAGGAACACCGGUGGCGAAAGCGGCUCUCUGGUCUGUAACUGACGCUGAGGCUCGAAAGCGUGGGGAGCGAACAGGAUUAGAUACCCUGGUAGUCCACGCCGUAAACGAUGAGUGCUAGGUGUUGGAUCCUUUCCGGGAUUCAGUGCCGCAGCUAACACAUUAAGCACUCCGCCUGGGGAGUACGACCGCAAGGUUG
rnacentral:rRNA from 1 species